rnacentral:rRNA from 1 species
GACGAACGCUGGCGGCGUGCCUAAUACAUGCAAGUAGAACGCACAGUUUAUACCGUAGCUUGCUACACCAUAGACUGUGAGUUGCGAACGGGUGAGUAACGCGUAGGUAACCUGCCUGGUAGCGGGGGAUAACUAUUGGAAACGAUAGCUAAUACCGCAUAAUAUUGAUUAUUGCAUGAUAAUUGAUUGAAAGAUGCUAUUGCAUCACUACCAGAUGGACCUGCGUUGUAUUAGCUAGUAGGUGAGGUAACGGCUCACCUAGGCGACGAUACAUAGCCGACCUGAGAGGGUGAUCGGCCACACUGGGACUGUGACACGGCCCAGACUCCUACGGGAGGCAGCAGUAGGGAAUCUUCGGCAAUGGACGAAAGUCUGACCGAGCAACGCCGCGUGAGUGAAGAAGGUUUUCGGAUCGUAAAGCUCUGUUGUAAGAGAAGAACGGGUGUGAGAGUGGAAAGUUCACACUGUGACGGUAUCUUACCAGAAAGGGACGGCUAACUACGUG